ensembl:lincRNA
CUGCGGUGCGAGGAGGAGGGAGGGGCGUGCUGGGGGGCUUCACUCUUUUUCUUUCCUUCCAGGCCUUGUCCAGGGCUGUCUUCUCCUUCCCGCCUACCCUCGAGUCAAUGCCCAGGGCGGGUGCGGUAAAAUAGACCAAGCAGUUGCCCCGAAAUAUGCAUCCCGAGGCUCCGCUUCAGAUCCGGGCUUGGAAUUUUCACAUGAAAUGUGAGGCUGCUGUGUCCCUGGGUUUGCCCGUCCGCGUGGAUGCUGAAAUGCAGUCACAGAACCCUGGGUUGAAUCUCGGUUGUUGGUGAAUGGUCUGCUUUGUCCCAAACACUGCUCGGGAUUCCCAAUUUUUAACGUGUGUGUGAUGGAUCGCAUCCUCACACCUGAUAUGUACAAACAUUUUCUCAGAAAUGUAAAAAGAACUCUUUCUCCAAAGUAGUUUCCCUGUGGAAAAGAACACAGAUUUGAGGCAGCCCGCAACCAGUGCAGUGGAGCGCCUGCGAACCUGUCUGGACCGGAAACCACGGGGCGUGUUCCGAGCCGCUGUUUCCAGAACCAGAAGGGAAACCUCCCACAGGCUCGUCUGCCUCCUCUGACGCAGAGGGCCGGGCCCAGCCGUGUGCGGCAGGUGCUGUGGGCCGGCGGCCGGCUUUCUCACGGAGCUGAACGACGGCGCGGGAGUUUACACCGACAGGAAGCUGGCAGGGCGCGCUGUUGGGGCGAGGCCCGUGAGGCCGCCUGCUUGGCCUGCCCGUGGGCGCCUGCGGGAGGACGGGAGGCCGAGAGCCCACGGCCAGGCUGUUCAGCCCGGGGACGCGCGCGGGCGCGGGCGGGUGGGAGGCCGUCGCUGUGGGGCCGCCUCUGCCCCAGGAGGGCCGGCCUUCCGUGCGUGGAGAGAAGGGACCGGGCUGCGGGAACCCGCACGCCCCCCACCGCCCAGAGGCUGCAGAAGGCUCUAGCGCAGAGGGGCUGGGAGCCAUGCUGUGGCUCGAGUGCCCCCAGCAAAGGGCGAGGGGAGCGCCUGAUUGAGAUCCGUGAUUUCGCAGACUGCUGGGAGUGGAGACACUUUGGUAUAGCUGUGUCGGGUGCAUUCUCUCCCCCACCCUUUGUUUUUUUUUUUUUCAGGGAGUCCUGUACCUGGGGAGCAGGUGCUCAACCCCUGGAGCUACAUCUGUUCCCUCCCCACCCUUUAGAAGUGUUGUUAGCUCAAAAAUUAAUUUUGUUUUAACUGUUAAGAUUAAAAAUGUCCUGGUUUUUGAAACUGGUAAGACAAGUGUUGAACCUGAGGUUCUGCAGUAUUAGGACUGGGACUGUUCUCUGCCGUGAGCGCUAGAAGGUGAAGCGGAGGCCUCUGGUGCGGUGGGAAGAGAGGUCGUCACAGGAGCAUCUUGCUUGCUCAUUCGUCCCCACCCCGGGCAAGGCCGACUCCUGGGAAUGUUUGAUAAAACAUUCUUUUCCCAGGCUUAUUACUAAUCAAAAUGUAAGUUUUUGCUUCUGAUCUCUUUCCUCUAGAGUCUGUGAUUCAUCUUGCCCCCAGAGUUAAUUUCCUAAAACAGAUUUAAUCAUGCCACCUCCCCUCCUCAACAGUUUUCAGUGGCUCCCCACUACUUAUUAUCAAGCCCAACAUCUUAGCAUGGGGUAUGGAAAACCUUUCAUGACUCGACUUUGUACUACCUUUCCAGUUUCAACAUCUUUUACAACCCUCCCUGUACCAUGAGUCCUUGGGUCAUCUGCUGAACACCAAGAACCAGAAAAGCUUAGCCCAAACUGGCUUAUACAAUACAGGGAUUUAUUAGCUCCUGGGCCAAAAAAAGUCCAGUGUCAGGGUGUUUCACGCAAGGCUUGAUCCAGCAAGUCAACAGUACCCCCAAUGACCUAAUUUCUUUCUGUCAGACUGUCGAGGUCCCAAGAUGGUUGCCAGUAGCGCCUGGGCUUUGUGCUUCUCUGUGCAUGUCUCCAGCAUUUGUAGCUGAUCUUCAAUCUGGUUAGACUUGUUUCUGUCUUGUGUCUCUCCCUUCACCAACCAAUUCCUGUGGUCAGGGGGAUGGAAUGUGCCAAUUGGUUGCCCGUUGCAGGGUUCCCCCUUGCAUCUGGAGUUUCCCAGAACUGUAUGGAUAUCUAAGUAGACCUUGGGGGUGCAGGAAGGAGGAAGGGCUGGAAUCUGCGAAGGUACUAAGCAUUUGUUCACUCCAAACCACCGACACAUUUACAUCUCGUGCCUUCCCUCCCCUCCUCGUUCUUCCUGGAAUAUACCACCCACUUCCACUGAUCACAUCUGACUCCUGUUUAAAGGCCUUGCUCAGGUGCCACCUCUCCUGUAUGCCUCUUCUAGUCUGGUAAGACUAAUCCUUCUCCCACUCCUCUACGCCCCGGAACACACUGUGCUUCUGUAUCAUGUGCAACUGCACCGAUUAAUUCUACUUGCAUUAUGUGUAAUUGCUUAUGCCUGACUCCUCCAUUGAACCUAAAGACCCUUGAAGAAGGGGGAUUCACACUUUGCUCAUUGUGGGGCUUUACAAGUGUUGAAUAAUAGUAACAAUCAAUUUCAAUGUUGAGAGUUUACUGUGUGAAAGACACCCAUGGACUCUUUCCACAUAAUUUUCUUUAAUCCCAUUUCAUUUUGGCAACAACAUGAUGAGAUAGAUACUAUUAUAAUCACUCCUAAUUUACAGGUGAGGAAACAGGUUUUGCAUGAGGUAAGUGAAUUGUUAGCAGAUAGUAGCAGAGAGGCUUGGACCUAGGUUUUUUUUUUUUUUUAAAGAUUUAUUUUUUACUUAUUUCUCUCCUCUUCCGCCUCCCUCCCAGUUGUCUGUUCUCUGUGUCCAUUCGCUGUGUGUUCUUCUGUGUUCACUUGCAUUUUUGUCAGCGGCACCUGGAAUCUGUGUCGCUCUUUGUUGUGUCAUCCUGCUGCGUCAGCUCUCAGUGUGUGCGGCACCAUUCCUGGGCAGGCUGCACUUUAUUUUGCGCUGGGUGGCUCUCCUUACGGGGUGCACUCCUUGCGUGUGCGGCUCCCCUAGACACCCUUGCGUGACGGGGCACUCCUUGCAUGCAUCAGCACUGCGCGUGGGCCAGCUGCACACGGGUCAAGGAGGCCGUGGGUUUGAACCCUGGACCUCCUAUGUGGUAGGUGGCUCUGUCAGUUGAGCUGCAUCCUCUUCCCUGGACCUAGUUUUUUGCUGCCUCCAGUGUUCAGGUUUGUAAGCAUUGUGUUAUCAUGUUUUGUACUGAAACUUGCAAAGACUCUUUCCUGGAAGGUGAGUCCCUGGGAAAGGUGGAGUCUUGAGGGAGGACUGGAGGAAGGUCGGCAGAGGCGCACAUGUGUUUGGGGCUUUGGGAGAAGCCCGAGGGACUGUGUGGAGGACACUGGUGGGAAGUGGGUGGCAGAGGCACCCCUGGGACUCGCUCAGGGCGGCUUGCCAGCACGGGGUCUUCCUUCAGGAACUGCUUUGGGCGGCGCCCAGUAGUGCUGCAGCACCGUGUGCUCAGAUACUUGGGUCCUGGCUUCCUUCUGGUCCUCAGAAACAGGCCUGUGCCCAAGGGACUGGAAAUGAGGCCGCAACUCCCACCUGCUCGGUAAAACCGAGUGGCGUGAGGCCACCGCUUGCCG